ACGCUCGACACCUACGGGAGGCAGCAGUGGGAAUAUUGCACAAUGGGGGAAACCCUGAUGCAGCGACGCCGCGUGAAGGAAGAAGUAUUUCGGUAUGUAAACUUCUAUCAGCAGGGAAGAAGAUGACGGUACCUGACUAAGAACGCCCCGGCUAACUACGUGCUAGCAGCCGCGGUAAUCUGAGCGGGCUGGCAAGGC
rnacentral:rRNA from 1 species